rnacentral:rRNA from 1 species
GUGGGGAAUUUUGGACAAUGGGGGAAACCCUGAUCCAGCCAUGCCGCGUGUAUGAAGAAGGCCUUAGGGUUGUAAAGUACUUUUGUUAGGGAAGAAAAGCUAGUUUUUAAUAAAAAUUAGUGAUGACGGUACCUAAAGAAUAAGCACCGGCUAACUACGUGCCAGCAGCCGCGGUAAUACGUAGGGUGCAAGCGUUAAUCGGAAUUAUUGGGCGUAAAGCGAGUGCAGACGGUUACUUAAGCCAGAUGUGAAAUCCCCAAGCUUAACUUGGGACGUGCAUUUGGAACUGGGUGACUAGAGUGUGUCAGAGGGAGGUAGAAUUCCACAUGUAGCGGUGGAAUGCGUAGAGAUGUGGAGGAAUACCGAUGGCGAAGGCAGCCUCCUGGGAUAACACUGACGUUGAGGCUCGAAAGCGUGGGGAGCAAACAGGAUUAGAUACCCUAGUAGUCC